AACGAACGCUGGCGGCAUGCCUAACACAUGCAAGUCGAACGAGACCUUCGGGUCUAGUGGCGCACGGGUGCGUAACGCGUGGGAACCUGCCCUUAGGUUCGGAAUAACUCCCCGAAAGGGGUGCUAAUACCGGAUAAUGUCUUCGGACCAAAGAUUUAUCGCCUUUGGAUGGGCCCGCGUUGGAUUAGCUAGUUGGUAGGGUAAAAGCCUACCAAGGCGACGAUCCAUAGCUGGUCUGAGAGGAUGAUCAGCCACACUGGGACUGAGACACGGCCCAGACCCCUGGGGGGGGGAAGAGGGGAUAAUUUGGGAAAGUGGGAGAACGCGUGCCCCCACUGCCCCGUGAGAGGGAUGAAGCCUUGGGGUGUUUAACUCUCUUUUCCCGGGGAUGAAAGUGAGAGUCCCGGGAAAAAACGCCCGGUCACACCCC
rnacentral:rRNA from 1 species